UCAUAUUGGGUAGGACUAAGAAUGCUAGUCAGCGCUCGCCAGCUAAAGGUGAGCGCGGCGCACAGCUCAGUAACACGUGGCUAACCUGCCCUCGGGACGGGAAUACCCCCGGGAAACUGGGGCUAAUCCCCGAUAGGUGAAGAACUCUGGAAUGAGUCUCCGCCCAAAAGACGCUUGCGCUAUGCUCGUAGACGUCGCCCAAGGAUGGGGCCGCGACCGAUCAGGUAGUUGGUGAGGCAAAGGCUCACCAAGCCUUUAACCGGUGCGGGCCGUGAGAGCGGAAGCCCGGAGAUGGGCACUGAGACAAGGGCCCAGGCCCUAUGGGGCGCAGCAGGCGCGAAACCUCUGCAAUGGGCGAAAGCCUGACAGGGUUACUCUGAGUGAUUUCCGCUAAGGAGAUCUUUUGGCAGCUCUAAAAAUGGUGCAGAAUAAGGGGUGGGCAAGUCUGGUGUCAGCCGCCGCGGUAAUACCAGCACCCCGAGUGGUCGGGACGAUUAUUGGGCCUAAAGCAUCCGUAGCCGGUUGUGCAAGUCCUCCGUUAAAUCCAGCCGCUCAACGGAUGGGCUGCGGAGGAUACUACAGGACUAGGAGGCGGGAGAGGCAAGCGGUACUUAGUGGGUAGGGGUAAAAUCCUUUGAUCCAUUGAAGACCACCAGUGGCGAAGGCGGCUUGCUAGAACGCGCCCAACGGUGAGGGAUGAAAGCUGGGGGAGCGAACCGGAUUAGAUACCCGGGUAGUCCCAGCUGUAAACGAUGCAUGCUAGGUGUUUGGGCGGCCACGUGCCGCUCUAGUGCCGCAAAGAAGUUGUUAAGCCUGCCGCCUGGGGAGUACGGCCGCAAGGCUGAACUUAAAGGAAUUGGCGGGGGAGCACCACAAGGGUGAAGCUUGCGGUUUAAUUGGAGUCAACGCCGG
rnacentral:rRNA from 1 species